rnacentral:misc_RNA from 1 species
GGCAUGCCUGUUCGAGCGUCAUUAUAACCAAUCACGCAAGUGGUAUUGGGGCUUGCCGUUGGCAUCCCUUAAAAUUAGUGGCAGUGCUAUAGGCUCUCAGCGCAGUAAUUAUUUCGCUCUUGAGUCCUAGAACCACCCGCCAAAACCCCAACUUUCUUAAGGUUGACCUCGGAUCAGGUAGGGAUACCCGCUGAACUUAA